rnacentral:rRNA from 1 species
ACGGCUCAGUAACACGUAGGUAACCUACCCUCAGGACUGAGAUAACCCCGGGAAACUGGGGCUAAUAUUAGAUAGAUAAAAGAUACUGGAAUGUUCUUUUAUCCAAAGCUUUUGCGCCUGAGGAUGGGCCUGCGUCCGAUUAGGUUGUUGGUGGGGUAAUGGCCCACCAAGCCUGCGAUCGGUACGGGCAGUGGGAGCUGAAGCCCGGAGUUGGGGACUGAGACAAGGCCCCAGGCCCUACGGGGCGCAGCAGGCGCGAAACCUCUGCAAUGCGGGAAACCGUGACAGGGGGAUCCCAAGUGCUCAUGCAUUGCAUGGGCUGUUCUUUGGUCUAAGUAACCAGAGGAGUAAGGGCUGGGCAAGACCGGUGCCAGCCGCCGCGGUAAUACCGGCAGCUCAAGUGGUAGCCGCGAUUAUUGGGCCUAAAACGUUCGUAGCCGGAUAAGUAAGUCUUUGGUUAAAUCCUGCGACUCAACCGUGGGAAUUCUAGAGAUACUGCUUGUCUUGAGACCGGGAGAGGUUGGAGGUACUCCUAGGGUAGGGGUGAAAUCCUGUAAUCCUAGGGGGACCACCUGUGGCGAAGGCGUCCAACUGGAACGGGUCUGACGGUGAGGGACGAAACCUAGGGGAGCGAGCCGGAUUAGAUACCCGGGUAGUCCUAGGCGUAAAUGAUGCGAGUUAAGUGUGGGGGCAUCUACGAGAUGGCCCUGUGCUGUAGGGUAGCCGUUAAACUCGCUGCCUGGGGAGUACGGUCGCAAGGCUGAAACUUAAAGGAAUUGGCGGGGGAGCAC